rnacentral:lncRNA from 1 species
GCUCGCGCCUGUAAUCGCGGCACUCUGGGAGGCAGAGGCAGGUGGAUCACCUGAGGUCAAGAGUUUGAGACCAGCCUGACCAACAUGGUGAAACCCCGUCUGUACUAAAAAUACAAAAUUAGCUGAUCAUGGUGGCACAUGCCUGUAGUCUCAGGUGCUUGGGAGGCUGAGGCAGAAGGAUCGUUUGAACCCACAAGGCGGAGGUUGCAGUGAGCCGAGUUUGCACCAUUGCACUCCAGCCUGUGCAACAAAAGCAAAACUCCAUCUCAAAAAAAAAAAAAAAAAAGUCUAGGCUGAGCACAGUGGCUCAUGCUUGUAAUCCUAGCACUUUGGGAGGCAAAGGUGGGAGAGCCACUGUGCCCAGUAGUUUGAGACCAGCCUGGGCAACAUAGUGAGACCCCCAUCUCUACAAAAAAUAUUUAAAAAUUAAUGGUGUGUGCCUGUAGUCUUAGCUAUGAGAGAGGAUUGCUUGAGUCCAGGAGUUCAAGACUCCAGGGAGCCAUGAUUGCACCGAUGCACUCCAGCUUGGGCAAGAUAGAGUCUAAAGAUAGAGUCUAAAGUCUUUGCCUCCUCCUGGAAAAAUGUUAUCAUUGUUCUCUACCAGCGGAGUCUGUUUCUUUACUCCUCCACUCCUUCAAUGAAUAUUUGUUAAACACAGCUCUGUGUUAAUGCCUAAUUGACACAUAAACAUGCAGAAACUAAGAUAUUUCAGCCAUUAUCAGAACCUUUUAAUCUUUUUGUUAGAGCCAAGGAGAUUCAGCUUUGUCUAAGGAUACGGUUACAAAUGAAGAACAAGGAACAGAGCUGUAUGUGUAUGUUCAAGGUUGCAUGCUAUUAUUGUUCCUUCUAAAGCAAGGCAGAUAUAAUCCUUGUAUUGGAAACAGGUUUCAGGUACAAUAAACAAUGUGCUCCCUUAUCUCAGAAGCACAAAGGUGGUUCAGCCAGUUGUUUACCACUCAGGUAUUCCUUAUUCAGCAGUUUUCGUACAAAAAUGCUACCUUUUAAUUUCCUAAUGCUCUGCCCUCCCAAAAGGUAAUAAGAAAUAGAAACUGGGUACUGCCUAAAUGAAUUCACUUGUGUGGAAAACAAAGUCAUUUUUAUAUACUCCUGCAAUGUGCAUUUGACUACAAGCCAGAACAUUUUACACAAGCAGUGGAAUUCAUCUCUUGAAAUUGAUUCAGGUUUUCUCUGAUAGGAGGGGUGGAAAAGGAAAAUGAAAAGCACGUGAUUAUAAUUGCACUUGGAAGCAGUCCCAGUUACAAGAGCAGUUCUUUAAAAUUAUUCUUUUGGUUUCACCUUAAAUUAUCUUAAUGGGAGAGUACAGUUUAGUAGGAACAAGGAAAAGUGGGAAAAGGAUACCUGGAAGUUUCUCUUUUCUCUUCUUUUGUCUUUUCUUUUCUUUUCUACCUCCUUCCUUCCUUCCUUUCUCUUUCUUUCUUUUCUUCUCUUUCU